AUUGAACGCUGGCGGCAAGCCUAACACAUGCAAGUCGAACGAGUGGCGGACGGGUGAGUAAUGUCUGGGAAACUGCCUGAUGGAGGGGGAUAACUACUGGAAACGGUAGCUAAUACCGCAUACCUUCGGAUGUGCCCAGAUGGGAUUAGCUAGUAGGUGGGGUAAAGGCUCACCUAGGCGACGAUCCCUAGCUGGUCUGAGAGGAUGACCGGCAAAAUGGGAACGGAGACACGGUCCAGACUCCACGGGGGGGCAGAAGAGGGGAAUAUUGCACAAUGGGGGCAAGCCGGAUGCAGCCAUGCGGGGGGUAUGAAGAAGGCCUUCGGGUGGUAAAGUACGUUCAGCGAGGAGGCGUUACCUGCAGAAGAAGCACCGGCUAACUCCGUGCCAGCAGCCGCGGUAAUAC
rnacentral:rRNA from 1 species